rnacentral:rRNA from 1 species
GAUGAACGCUGGCGGCGUGCCUAAUACAUGCAAGUAGAACGCUGAAGGAGGAGCUUGCUCUUCUGGAUGAGUUGCGAACGGGUGAGUAACGCGUAGGUAACCUGCCUGGUAGCGGGGGAUAACUAUUGGAAACGAUAGCUAAUACCGCAUGACAACAGUUAUUGCAUGAUAACUGUUUAAAAGGGGCAACUGCUCCACUACCAGAUGGACCUGCGUUGUAUUAGCUAGUUGGUGAGGUAACGGCUCACCAAGGCGACGAUACAUAGCCGACCUGAGAGGGUGAUCGGCCACACUGGGACUGAGACACGGCCCAGACUCCUAUGGGAGGCAGCAGUAGGGAAUCUUCGGCAAUGGACGGAAGUCUGACCGAGCAACGCCGCGGGAGUGAAGAAGGUUUUCGGAUCGUAAAGCUCUGUUGUAAGAGAAGAACGAGUGUGAGAGUGGAAAGUUCACACUGUGACGGUAUCUUACCAGAAAGGGACGGCUAACUACGUG